UGGGGAAUUUUGGACAAUGGGCGCAAGCCUGAUCCAGCCAUGCCGCGUGUGGGAAGAAGGCCUUCGGGUUGUAAACCACUUUUGUCAGGGAAGAAACGGCCUGAUCUAAUACAUUGGGUUAAUGACGGUACCUGAAGAAUAAGCACCGGCUAACUACGUGCCAGCAGCCGCGGUAAUACGUAGGGUGCGAGCGUUAAUCGGAAUUACUGGGCGUAAAGCGUGCGCAGGCGGCUUUGCAAGACAGAUGUGAAAUCCCCGGGCUCAACCUGGGAACUGCAUUUGUGACUGCAAGGCUAGAGUACGGUAGAGGGGGAUGGAAUUCCGCGUGUAGCAGUGAAAUGCGUAGAUAUGCGGAGGAACACCGAUGGCGAAGGCAAUCCCCUGGACCUGUACUGACGCUCAUGCACGAAAGCGUGGGGAGCAAACAGGAUUAGAUACCCCAGUAGUCCCUGAGCGGGCUGGCAAGGCGCAU
rnacentral:rRNA from 1 species